rnacentral:rRNA from 1 species
AGAACGAACGCUGGCGGCAUGCCUAACACAUGCAAGUCGAACGAGACCUUCGGGUCUAGUGGCGCACGGGUGCGUAACGCGUGGGAAUCUACCCUUGGGUUCGGAAUAACAGUUGGAAACGACUGCUAAUACCGGAUGAUGACGUAAGUCCAAAGAUUUAUCGCCCAGGGAUGAGCCCGCGUAGGAUUAGCUAGUUGGUGAGGUAAGGCUCACCAGGCGACGAUCCUUAGCUGGUCUGAGAGGAUGAUCAGCCUACACUGGGACUGAGACACCGGCCCAGACCUCCUACGGGGACGGCAGGCAGGUGGGGGAAUAGUUAGGACAAGUGGGCGAAAGCCUGAUCAGCAAUCGCGCGUGAGUGAG